rnacentral:rRNA from 1 species
UGGGGAAUCUUGGACAAUGGGCGCAAGCCUGAUCCAGCCAUGCCGCGUGGAUGAUGAAGGCCUUAGGGUUGUAAAAUCCUUUCGUUGGGGACGAUAAUGACGGUACCCAAAGAAGAAGCUCCGGCUAACUACGUGCCAGCAGCCGCGGUAAUACGUAGGGACCAAGCGUUGUUCGGAUUUACUGGGCGUAAAGGGCGCGUAGGCGGCAAUUCAAGUCAUCUGUGAAAUCUCCGGGCUUAACUCGGAACGGUCAGAUGAUACUGCUUUGCUAGAGUGCAGAAGGGGCAAUCGGAAUUCUUGGUGUAGCGGUGAAAUGCGUAGAUAUCAAGAGGAACACCUGAGGUGAAGACGGGUUGCUGGGCUGACACUGACGCUGAGGCGCGAAAGCCAGGGGAGCAAACAGGAUUAGAUACCCAGGUAGUCCCUGAGCGGGCUGGCAAGGCGCAU